rnacentral:hammerhead_ribozyme from 1 species
AUCUAGCCGAUGAGUCUUAAAUAAGACGAAACUCGCGUCCUAGAU